rnacentral:tRNA from 1 species
UUCCCUAUAGCUUAAUUGGCAAAGCGGUCGACUCAUAAUCGAAUGAAGGAGCGGUUCAAAUCCGCCUAGGGAAA